UUUCCUCUAUGCUCUCCUGCCUCAGUUAAGGGAUGCUCCCUUCUGAAAACUGCAAAGAUGUGAAUGCUUGAGAGUACUCACAAAGAAGAUUGGCUUCUUGCUCAUUCUGUUAAUUCUGUAGUUUCUGGUCAUGCUCAGCCUCCAGCUCCAACCUACGCCAUUUUUUAGGGUCCACAUUCUGAAGGAAAUCAGUUGGAAGAUUUUCAGAGAAAAUAUCUGCAUUACCCCAUCUAUCCAAGUUUUCUCAUUGGUAAAAUGCUGAGACAAACAAGUGCACACUCACCUUUUAAUGCAGUGGUAUAGAUUGUCUUUUGCUACCGUGCAGACCCAAGCUGGAGCUGCCUGUGUGGACGUGCUGCCUCUGGAGGAAGUUAGAAAAAAUGCACUUUUGGCCACAUGAAGGAACCACCAGGACUGCUACAGUUCUCAAGAAACUCUGGAAAAUCACACUCCAAACUUGAUGCUUGCCAAGAUACUUGAAAACCACCAUGAACUUUAUGUCUGCUGUGGCCACCAUGACUUUCUGAAGAAAACCUUGAAGCGGAGUAGCUGAGUCAAAAAGCGGAUAAAACUGGUUAUUGUCCUGCACUUUCCACUGUGAACCCGAGGUCUUUGGGUUUGGGAGCGGCCUGGCUGUGUGCUUCGCCCAGUUCCUCAGUACAGCCCUGGGCCCUUGGCAAGGAGGCUGGGCGGCCCCUCGUCUUGCUCUCACUCCUGAGCUCAGCUACCAACCACUGCAACUCAUGAGCAUGAGAAUUCUUAAAACUCUCUACCAAAAUGGCAGCAUAUGGUCCUGGAGAAGAAAAUGUCUUCUUCCUCCUUUCUAGUACUACAAAUGGAACCAAGCCACCUGCUAGGGAUUGCUAGAUACCCCCUGGACCCCAGAUACUAUAAACAGAAGUUGGAGCUGACACAAAUGUGCCACAGGGAAGAUUGUAUUCCUGUUUCCAGCACAGCUGUGGGUUGCUGUGCCAGGCUAUACCACAACAGCAAGUGAUACACCUGAUGGUAGGAGACAUGAUGAGGUGUUCAGCUGAAUCUGUGCCAGGAAGUCAUGGGGUCCCUGGACAGGUGCCCUGCCAGCAAGUGGGCCGUUCCUGACAGCAUGACCAACUAGCACCUCAGUGGGCACCUACUGCAAUAUCCAGGGUGUGGUUACUCAGGCUGGCCCAUUUGGGCCAGCGGAUCUUCACAGAUACCGAAGAAUGAGCGGUCUCUUGAAUUAUGACCACAUCCAAGCAUUCUUCACAAGAGUCAAGAAAUGGAACCACCAAAGUGUCCACUGACCAACAGACAGAUAAAGAAACACUGGUGUAUGUAUGCAGUAGAAUAUUAUUCAGGCUUAAGAAAGGAGAUCCUGCCAGGUAAAUGGUAUAUACCUGUAAUCCCAGCGA